GGAGUGAUGCUCGAGUGGCUGAAGAGGCAAACCUGGAAAGUUUGUAUACCCCGAAAGGGUAUCGGGAGUUCGAAUCUCCCUCACUCCG
rnacentral:tRNA from 1 species